UACGUAGGGGGCUAGCGUUGUCCGGAAUCAUUGGGCGUAAAGAGCGCGUAGGCGGCCAGAUAAGUCCGGUGUGAAAGUCACAGGCUCAACCGGGGAACUGCGUCCGAUACUGGAUGGCUUGAGUUCGGGAGAGGGAUGCGGAAUUCCAGGUGUAGCGGUGAAAUGCGUAGAUAUCUGGAGGAACACCGGUGGCGAAGGCGGCAUCCUGGACCAACACUGACGCUGAGGAGCGAAAGCCAGGGGAGCAAACGGG
rnacentral:rRNA from 1 species